CUACGGGCUGCUCCAGUGAGGAAUAUUGCACAAUGGGGGGAACCCUGAUGCAGCAACGCUGCGUGGAGGAUGACGCAUUUCGGUGUGUAAACUCCUUUUGUAUGUCAAGAAAAUGACGGUAGCAUAUGAAUAAGCACCGGCUAACUCCGUGCCAGCAGCCGCGGUAAUACGGAGGGUGCAAGCGUUACUCGGAAUCACUGGGCGUAAAGGACGCGUAGGCGGGUUGGAAAGUCAGGUGUGAAAUCCUACAGCUUAACUGUAGAACUGCACUUGAAACUUCUAAUCUAGAGUAUGGGAGGGGGAGAUGGAAUUAGUGGUGUAGGGGUAAAAUCCGUAGAUAUCACUAGGAAUACCUAAAGCGAAGGCGAUCUCCUGGAACAUUACUGACGCUAAGGCGUGAAAGCGUGGGGAGCAAACAGGAUUAGAUACCCUCGUAGUC
rnacentral:rRNA from 1 species